rnacentral:rRNA from 1 species
AUUGAACGCUGGCGGCAUGCCUUACACAUGCAAGUCGAACGGCAGCACGGGAGCUUGCUCCUGGUGGCGAGUGGCGAACGGGUGAGUAAUAUAUCGGAACGUACCCUAGAGUGGGGGAUAACGCAGCGAAAGUUGCGCUAAUACCGCAUACGAUCUACGGAUGAAAGUGGGGGAUCGCAAGACCUCAUGCUCAUGGAGCGGCCGAUAUCUGAUUAGCUAGUUGGUGGGGUAAAGGCCUACCAAGGCUUCGAUCAGUAGCUGGUCUGAGAGGACGACCAGCCACACUGGAACUGAGACACGGUCCAGACUCCUACGGGAGGCAGCAGUGGGGGAAUUUUUGGGACAAUGGGCGAAAGCCUGAUCCAGCAAUGCCGCGUGCAGGAUGAAGGCCUCGGUUGUAAC